GACGAACGCUGGCGGCGUGCUUAACACAUGCAAGUCGAACGGAAAGGCCCUGCGCUUGUUGGGUGCUCGAUUGGCGAACGGGUGAGUAACACGUGAGGAACCUGCCCUUGUCUUUGGGAUAACUUCAGGAAACUGGGGCUAAAAUCGGAUAGGAGCUCCUGCUGCAUGUUGGGGGUUGGAAAAUGUCGGCGGUUGGGGAUGGACUCGCGGCUUAUCAGCUUGUUGGUGGGGUAGUGGCGUACCAAGGCUUUGACGGAUAGCCGGCCUGGGAGGGUGAACGGCGACCAUAGGCCUGAGGUACGGACCAGUAUCCUACGGGCCGCAAUAGUGGGGAGUAUUGCACAGUAGCGGGAAGCCAGAUGUAGAGAUGCCGCGUGCGUGAUACUGGCCUACGAGUGAUAAACAAAUUUGGAAGUUGCUGAGGCGUGCGUGACGGUAAUUGGUCAGAAAGCCCCGGCUAACUACGUG
rnacentral:rRNA from 1 species